UACGUAGGGGGCAAGCGUUGUCCGGAUUUAUUGGGCGUAAAAGGCUUGUAGGUGGCCACGCCAAGUCGGAUGUGAAAUCUCCCGGCUCAACUGGGAGGGGUCAUUCGAUACUGGUGGGCUCGAGGCCGGUAGGGGGAAGCGGAAUUCCCGGUGUAGUGGUGGAAUGCGCAGAUAUCAGGAGGAACACCGGUGGCGAAGGCGGGUCUCUGGGCCGUAACUGACGCUGAGGAGCGAAAGCGUGGGGAGCGAACAGG
rnacentral:rRNA from 1 species